rnacentral:rRNA from 1 species
AAUCAACGCUGGCGGCGUGCCUCAGACAUGCAAGUCGAACGAUUAAAGCUCUCUUCGGAGAGUGCAUAGAGUGGCGCACGGGUGAGUAACACGUAAGUAAUCUGCCUUUGAGUGGGGAAUAACAGUCGGAAACGAUUGCUAAUACCGCAUAACGCAGCGGCACCGCAAGGUGACAGUUGUUAAAGGAGCAAUCCGCUUAAAGAGGAGCUUGCGGCAGAUUAGCUUGUUGGUAAGGUAACGGCUUACCAAGGCUACGAUCUGUAUCCGGUCUAAGAGGACGGUCGGACACACUGACACUGAAUAACGGGUCAGACUCCUACGGAGGCAGCAGUCGGGAAUUUUGGGCAAUGGGGG